UAGAGCUCUGUCCUUUCAUUCUCAGAACACCGAGAAGGGGUGACGACUCAGAUUCCGCACCCCGUGCGCGGAUGUUUUGUACAAGCUCAGAGAAUCCCUCUUCGCCACAGCAGCCGCGCCCUAGCUCCAGUCUGUGUCCUCGCCUCCCCCACGGCCCGCAAAGGCUGGCCUGCAACUAAGGAGCACACAGAAACCACCAAGGAAGAGAAAUGGGAAACGCCGCGGCCCGCCGAAGCCUCGCAAGUCUGCGCGCCCCAAGCCGAAGGCCUGGUCUCGCGGACGCUCAGGCCCCACCGUCUUCGCGCUCCCCGCUGGAGAUAGGGUCUGACGCACGCCGCCCUGCGAAGCAACAGUAACCAAGGAUAUGAGGAGCCGGGGCGAACAGAUGGCAGCUCCCGGCGGCACUGCUCCUCCGGCCAGCUGCGCAACUCCUCCAGGGUGCUCUAGCCUUCCUCGGACAUGCGGCCACCUGAGACGCCAACUUCAAACCACUCUCACCUCAGCCAGGACCGGAAGUCCAGCCAUCCCGGCAAGCCUUGCGAGACCUCAUCUGGACUGAAUCCUAGAGAGGACGCGGCCUAGGCUCCAUGGCGGCCAAGAGGGAAACCGGGCCUAUCUGGUUCCCGGGAGGAAUCCACUCAGUGAUGCGCACUUCCUGAAGCAGAGGACUUCAGAACUCUCCAGACCACUUGCCUCCCAAGCCUGGGUUGCUGCAGACUUUCCAUUAUCUGGCGCUUGGGGAAGGGUCAAAUAAAAGAGAAUCAAAGACCUCUAAAAAAAGUCUUUGGAAACAUCUCUAAGUGUUCAUAGUGGUGUAUAAGCAGCCAAAGAGAAAUUCACCUCAGUGGAACUAAUUGAAUAAUUGAGCAGUGUAUAUGAGUACCAGUUGCUCCAUAUCCUUGCCAGAACUUGAAACGGAAAUAUUGGAGAAAAGUCUAAGAAAAUAGCUUGAAUUCUGGAAGAAAACUGGAAAUUGUUGAAAAAUAAUAAACACAUGCGGUCUCCUAAAAGCUGGUACUUUUUGAAGAACAUGGCGAGGUGUCCUCCUACUGAAAUGGUGUGACAUUUUUUCAUGGAAAAAUAAUCUUCUAUUUAAUGAUGCCAUCAUCACCACCAUCAUCACCAUCACCAUCAUCUCCAUCAUCAU